rnacentral:tRNA from 1 species
AAAAAUUUAGUUAAACUAUAACAUCAGUUUGUCAAACUGAAAUUAUUAUUUCAUAUAAUAAUUUUUA